GAGGAUCCAAGAAGACGUUCUUUUACAUGUUCAAAUGCCAUAAACUCUAGUGUAGAGUAGACUUUAAUUUCUUUUCAAAAUUAGCAUAGGAACUUUAUUUGUAAUUUUCUUAGAAUUAAUUUUGGCACCUAAAACACCAACCUAGGUAAACUUAGAGUUUCUAAAAAAACCUCUAAAUUUACCAAGGCCGGUCUAGAAAGCCCAUGGAGGGGGUGAGCAUAAAAACUAG
rnacentral:lncRNA from 1 species